rnacentral:rRNA from 1 species
AGAGUUUGAUCCUGGCUCAGGACGAACGCUGGCGGCGUGCCUAACACAUGCAAGUCGAACGGACGAGGCCCCUUCGGGGACCGAGUUAGUGGCGGACGGGUGAGUAACGCGUGAGCAACCUGCCUUUCAGAGGGGGACAACAGUUGGAAACGACUGCUAAUACCGCAUGAUGCAGCGAGAUCGCAUGGUCUUGCUGUCAAAGAUUUAUCGCUGAAAGAUGGGCUCGCGUCUGAUUAGCUAGUUGGAGGGGUAACGGCCCACCAAGGCGACGAUCAGUAGCCGGACUGAGAGGUUGAACGGCCACAUUGGGACUGAGAUACGGCCCAGACUCCUACGGGAGGCAGCAGUGGGGAAUAUUGGGCAAUGGGGGAAACCCUGACCCAGCAACGCCGCGUGAAGGAAGAAGGCUUUCGGGUUGUAAACUUCUUUUACCAGGGACGAAGAACGUGACGGUACCUGGAGAAAAAGCCACGGCUAACUACGUGCCAGCAGCCGCGGUAAUACGUAGGUGGCAAGCGUUGUCCGGAUUUACUGGGUGUAAAGGGCGUGUAGGCGGAGCUGCAAGUCAGAUGUGAAAUCUGGGGGCUUAACCCUCAAACUGCAUUUGAAACUGUAGCCCUUGAGUAUCGGAGAGGCAGGCGGAAUUCCUAGUGUAGCGGUGAAAUGCGUAGAUAUUAGGAAGAACACCAGUGGCGAAGGCGGCCUGCUGGACGACAACUGACGCUGAGGCGCGAAAGCGUGGGGAGCAAACAGGAUUAGAUACUCUGGUAGUCCACGCUGUAAACGAUGAAUACUAGGUGUGGGGGGACUGACCCCCUCCGUGCCGGAGUUAACACAAUAAGUAUUCCACCUGGGGAGUACGACCGCAAGGUUGAAACUCAAAGGAAUUGACGGGGGCCCGCACAAGCAGUGGAUUAUGUGGUUUAAUUCGACGCAACGCGAAGAACCUUACCGGGAUUUGACAUCCUACUAACGAAGCAGAGAUGCAUUAGGUGCCCUUCGGGGAAAGUAGAGACAGGUGGUGCAUGGUUGUCGUCAGCUCGUGUCGUGAGAUGUUGGGUUAAGUCCCGCAACGAGCGCAACCCCUAUUGUUAGUUGCUACGCAAGAGCACUCUAGCGAGACUGCCGUUGACAAAACGGAGGAAGGCGGGGACGACGUCAAAUCAUCAUGCCCCUUAUGUCCCGGGCUACACACGUAAUACAAUGGCGGUCAACAAAGGGAAGCAAAGCCGCGAGGCAGAGCAAACCCCCAAAAGCCGUCUCAGUUCGGAUUGCAGGCUGCAACUCGCCUGCAUGAAGCUGGAAUUGCUAGUAAUCGUGGAUCAGAAUGCCACGGUGAAUACGUUCCCGGGCCUUGUACACACCGCCCGUCACACCAUGAGAGUCGGGAACACCCGAAGUCCGUAGUCUAACCCGCAAGGGAGGGCGCGGCCGAAGGUGGGUCUGAUAAUUGGGGUGAAGUCGUAACAAGGUA